GCUACGGUGGCUUAGUGGUUAGAGCGUCCGCCUGGGAUGCAGGAGGACGCGGGAUCGAACUCGGAUGCAGGUUAUCGCGGGUUCAAACCCCGGCCGUUGGUCU